AUGAAUACAAUCAUGGAAGAAGUAUGCAAAAACUACACAGAGGGUUGGGUCAACAAUAAUCUAGAACCAAGGAAGAGUGUAGACCGCGUGGAAGGUUUUGUCAUCGUCGCGGCUGUGUUUAUGAUCGCCCUUGCCAUUCUCUCGCCCAGGAGGCGUCAAUCUCGGAGCAUCAUUAUAAGAUAUGGAGUGGGCGGAGUGUUUAUAUUAUCCUUCCCACUUCUCUCCUACACUGUGGGACUGAUGCAGGCGGGGAAAAUUAAAAAUGAGUUGUACCCGGUGUGGGCAAUGUUUCUGGCCAUGCUUUUUGGAGGCACCAGCUCAAUGUCUGUCCAGAAGCUCGAUCAAAACAAGCAACUCAUGAAGCUCUACUGUGAUUGUCUCUUGUUCACGAUGUGCAGUGCCACGGUAUCAGGUGGUUUUAUUUAUACAUUCGGUAUGAAGCAUAGUUCCAGUCGCCUUGUUCCCAUUGGUUGCUUGUUUGUCGUGGGAUUUCUAUUGGGAAUUAAAACGGCUGAGCAGUUUGGUGCUGCAUUGUUAGCAAGCAAACCAUCAUCGGACAAUGGAAUCAAGUGGCUGGCCCGCUACAUGAAGGGUGAGCACAUACUCAGCACAUCCUACGACCCUCGUACCAUGCAGGGAUACAAGUACCCGGUUCUAAUCCAUUCUGGGCGGGCAACAAUUGGAGAAAAUGCAAUAACACUGGAUAACAUUUGGUGUGACAACAUCGGUAUCUUGUCAUCUUACUAUAGUGCUCCUAUCCGUCGUCUCAAGGAUCUGUGUCUCUCAUUCGCAUUGUUCCAUCUGGUGGUUCGGCGAUACUUUGGCUACACUUGUCCUGAAUCUGGGCUUGACAAGACUCGUGAUCUUGUUCUUGAUGGGCUAUUGCAAACAGAACAGGACUAUGAAAGAGCAUUUCAAGUGAUUGAAGCAGAGUUGGCUUUCCUCUACGAUUUCUUCUUCACCAAAUAUACCUUCAUAAUGUAUGGCAACGAGCUAAGUCGUUUUGUAGAAACCAGCACAAAAGAUGUCCUGGUUACCCUAAUAGCGUUGGCUGCACUAUCGGUAUCUCAGUUCCUGCAGAUAUGGUCUUACUGUGUCUCUGGCUGGGCAAAAAUAUCCUUUGUUUGUAAGUACGUAGCACAUCCAUCAUGGCAAGGGAACACCCGUAUUGAGAAGCUUCUUUUAUGUUAUGGACGACCUCACAAGUGGCUUCGUUAUUGGCGCAACACUAUUGGCCAAUACUCGGUUCUUGAUUCCUUUAGUUCCAGCUACCGGUGUCAGUUGAAGCAUCUCCUUCCAACUGAGAAAGCAGGCAAGCCUGUGGAGUUGCCAAUGCAAGUGAAGAGGGCAGUGGCACGGACUAUCAGAAACUCGACAAACGGCCAUCUUUCACAUGGAACCUCCGCACUAAUGAGACACGGCAUGAGUGAUGAACUAUGCGGUGCAUGCCAGAUCAACGAUGAAUAUACACUGACCGACACCAUACUGGCAUGGCAUGUCGCGACUAGCUUCUGUGAGAUCUCGGAUACAAUCAAACGCCCACACGAUGUGCACCCGAAUCAAGUUGUCGCCACUAUCUUGUCCAAGUAUUGUACCUACUUGGUCGCCUUUGCACCAACGUUGCUUCCAGGCAGUGCACCAGAAACAAAGUGUGCUCUCGAUGAGAUGGUAAAAGAAGCAAAAGAAAUGCUACAUGACCUCGUCUCUCCAAGGGAAAAGUAUGGAAAACUUAGUGAACUAGAGUAUGUCGUAGGUGGUGGAAGAAAAUUGUUCACCUAUGGUGCUGUGCUGGGGAAAGCGCUGGAGAGCAUGGACAAUCAUGCGAACCGGUGGGACCUACUGGCAGAUUUCUGGGCCGAGAUGAUGGUGUAUAUUGCCCCAUCUAACAAUGUAGCUGGUCACAUAGAACUUCUUGCGGAAGGAGGCGAGUUUGUGACUCACGUCUGGGCUUUGCUCAUGCAUGCCGGUAUUCUUGAGCGUCCCAGUACUACAAUAAUCCCCUAG
rnacentral:rRNA from 1 species